GACAGAGGUCCCAAGCGUUAGGCGGAAUCACUGGGCUUAAAGCGCGUGUAGGCGGACUUGUAAGUACCUUGUGAAAUCCCACGGCUCAACCGUGGAACUGCUGGGUAUACUGCGAGUCUUGAGCCACCUAGGGGCGAGCGGAACAAGUGGUGGAGCGGUGAAAUGCGAGAUAUCACGUGGAACGCCAGUGGUGAAAGCGGCU
rnacentral:rRNA from 1 species